GGGCAGGCUCCUAGGGAGGAAGAAGAUGGCAUAAUUGAACCUCCUUAAGCAAACUAAACUCAGAACCCCAAGGACUUCGUUGGCAAGUGCUCUCACCAGUGGCUUAGAGAGUAAGGCAAGAGCUCUAGCACAAGUACCCCUUCACGCUCUGAAUCAACAGAGAGCCAAUGGGAAGAUUGGUAACAUCAGGCAGCUAGGAGUUCCCUGUGAGAUUUCUGCACAAAGAAGCUCAGACUAGGGGAAGUUCAGGCUGACAGGUGGGAUGCACGAAGAAUGCAGCCGUGGAGAGUUGUGUCUGUCUCUUGCUCCUCGAAAAUAAGCUGUAGCUGCUCUGAUUUGCAAGCAAAAGCUGCUUGGGAUUCAAGGAUUCUUGAAGAAGACAUUUUUUUCCUUCCAGCAAGGAAUGUGGAAGAGCUCUAUUAAUGUGCAGGUUUACCGCAGAUCCAGAAGAAAUACAUCUCUUUUGACGAACUGUUGACAAACCAGAGCUAGGGUAGAACCCUCCUCCCACCUCUGCUGGAAAGAUGCUGUGGACCUCACAAUUUCUAGGGACUCUUCUAGGCGCGAACCUGGCAAGUGGACUGCUCUGGAACCAGAGAUGCUAUCUAGAUAAGUUUAUUCUGAUGAUGCUUGAUUCCUAAAGCCCAGGAACAGAUGUCACCCAUUUUUCUUCUUUGAAGGGAAAAACUCUUUGCAAGAAUGAGCGCACUUCACCAUGAAACUGAUGCUAUAAGAAGCUUUGACUGGUGCACAAAGGAGUGUUAUGGCCUGGCUGCCAGAAAAGGGGGCUGGUAAAAGUAAAUGGUAGGCCAUAGUGUACUGAUUGCAAAGUUUUCUCUGUGUUAGCAUUUUUCUCCAGAGAAACAUUUAAGAGUUGCUCUGUUUUUUGGAUUGGAUACUCCUUACCAAUCGUGAUUUUUGGAGAUGGCUAAAAGAAGGGCAUCUCCAUCCAAGUAUAUUUGGUCAGUACUGGAUCGAAUCUUUCAUGUGUUGAUGGAAAAUGCACCGAGUCCAAAUUUCAAAUGCUUAUUUUGUACUUUAAAUUCUCUUAUUCUGGUAUAGA